rnacentral:rRNA from 1 species
UACGUAGGGUGCAGACGUACUUGAAUGAAUCUGGGCGUAAAGCGUGCGCAGGCGGUUCGCUAAGACAGAUGUGAAAUCCCCGGGCUUAACCCUGGGAACUGCAUUUGUGAACUGGCGGGCUAGAGUAUGGCAGAGGGGGGGUAGAAUUCCGACGUGUAGCAGUGAAAUGCGUAGAGAUGUGGAGGAAUACCGAUGGCGAAGGCAGCCCCCUGGGCCAAUACUGACGGCUCAUGCACGAAAGCGUGGGGAGCAAACAGG